UGAGCACUGAGUUUACAUCUCAGCAGCUGCAAACCAUGGCCACAGUCACUGUUGAAUACUGUAAAGGAUGAAGUUAUGCUUUUCGCUACCGGGAUCUAGCUGGUCUCCUCCGGCAGGUUCCUGGUGUGAAAGUAACAGGACUCACAGGAGAAGACAACAGUUUUGAGGUGUCAGUGAAUGGUGAGCUAAUCUACUCCAAGCUGAAGACGGGAGAGUUUCCUGAUAAUGAAGAGCUGACAGAGAAGGUGAGAGCGAUGGUUCCAAAAACGAAAGGAACGAAAAAGAACUGGAAACAGAGAUGCUCUACCCAAUAGGAGAUGGAGGAUGAAACGCCAGCUGUAUUUGCACUGACUGUAUUUGACCGAUGUUCUUAUUUGUUUGUGUGUUUCCCUAUUCUCUAUCCAAAAAAAUUAACAUAAGCAUCAAAGAAAGGGACAUUAACACAUUUUGUUAAUUAAAAGUGUCACAGAUCAGACAACUUGUUUGCUGUGAAUGCACACACAGAUGAGAUGCUGAUGGGAGCCCAUCAGAGGACCUGACUGCUGAUCUGCACUCCUGUUUAUGAAUGCACACACUAAAAACUGCAUGUGGUGUGUGCAUGAUGCCACUGGAGAAGCUUUUCAGCCGACCCUGGCCUGAAGAUGUGCUCUCAUCAGGUCUGUGUAGCACAGGUUAUUAUCAAACAUAUCUAAGUUUAGUUUACAUUCAUCAUUUGGAUUUUCCCUUUUUAGAUAAACAAAAACAUUGUUUCUGUGGCUUGAAUAGAAUAAUUGUGAAUGAGGAGACUGAUGUCACUCUCAUGUAUCUGCUUUAGGAUAGCUCACACAGGUGAACAGCAGUCCUUGUUAGCCCCUUGAUUAUUAUGCUUGUUUAAUAGAAACUUCAAUUUAUGGAAUAAACGAGUGUCAUGUUUUAACUCUGAGCUGCACGUCAGCUGUGACAAAAUGGUUUUUUGAACACUGUCGAAUACACGCAGACUGUUUUAAUUCAGAUCUGCUGCUGUGGUCUCUGCACACUUCCUGUCGUCUGUGGUGCUCUGCAUAUAUUCCUGAAGCGCUAUGUAGUAAAUGUGUCAAGCAAACAGGAAGUGCAGGGAGUUUUAAAUAGUUUUGAAGUGUAGCUGAAAAAAACAAACACAUUUUAUCACAUCUUUGAAAUGUGCACAAAGAUCUGAUCAUCAGUUUUGUGCCUCACAGUGUAUUGUGUGAAAAAAUAAACAAACAAACAUGAAUGAUGGGUUACAAAUGGACUCUUUCGACACAAAUGAAAUAUAAGAUUUUGAUUAUGGUAUGUUUUUGUGAUUUCCAGUCCUCUCUAUGUUAAGCUGGGUGUUGUCAUUGUGGAUAAGCUAACUAGCGGCUAGCUGCAGCUUCAUAUUGAUGGUGCAGACAUGAGAGUGACAUCCAUCUUCUAAUCCAGUGGGUCUCAAACCUCUUUCUACCGUGCCACAAAUCCCACAAAAGUUUAACGUUCAUUAAGAAUAAGAAAUAUCUAAGCUGAAUUUGACUUAAAAUAAGCUUCAGAUUAGCAUUUGUAGCAUUAGCAACCUCAGCAGCACUUUAUAGUAAUGUCACACUAUUAACCAUUAAUAUAGCAAAUUCACCAUUUAUAUAGCAUUAUCUGCCUUGGUAUGUCAUUUAUAUACACAAAUGUUUAUCCAUCUGUUACUGUUACCCUUGCAUAGUUAACACUGCUACUACAUCACUGCUAACAAUAAUCACAGUCAUAAUAAUAUAUGUGUAUUUAUAAAUGGCAUACUAAGGAGGAGUAAUGCUUCAUAAAUAAUGAAUUAAGCACUUGCUAAUACCUUAAUAAUGCUUAAUAGUGUGACAUUAUCAUUAAGUGCUACCACAAACUGUCUGUUUAUCCCCUCCCCCUCUCAACUGGCCACCCUUGCCCCACAAUAGUGCCCUGCCCCACUGUUUGAGAAACACUGUAACAUUACCUGAUAAGCAAGAGAAGUUACAAGAGUCGAAUAGUUUUUCUUUUUUAUCUUUCUUUUACUUAGUGAGCCUUCCAGUGUAACAUUUUUAAAGAAGCGAAGACAACAUGAGAUACUUCGUGAACUUUUUUUUUUUCUAGGAGGUAUUUUUAUUUUAAUGAUAUGUGGUGUAUAUGUUUUAUACUUUGCCACAUAUAAAAAAGCACAUGGGACUAUUAUUUUUGAUAGACCUGUGUGGUGAGUGCACUGUCAUCUGAUCUUUUUAAAGGUUUAGACAGAUUUUGAAUUGGUGACACAUUUUUAAUAUAUGUUUCAAACACGUUAGCUUUGUUGUUCAUGUUUGGAGCUGGUUUUUUUCAAAAAUGAAAUAAAAACAAAGAAAUCACUGUUGAAUCUCUGAUUUGCUCGAUUGAAGCGAUUUUCACACCCGGGCUGAUGUCAUCCGCAGGAUAAUAUUAUCAGUCACUGUAAUGAAAGGAAAAACUUUCUCAACUGAUUGUCAUAUCUGAUAAAUGAUAUUAGUCUAAAUAUACACAAGCUGUGUUAUAUGAUAUAUUUGUUUAUAUAUGAUACAACAAACAAAUAUAUAUUCAAAUAUUUUAUGACUUUUUGAAAAUCUUAUUGUAUCAUACACGUUCAACCCGGAAAUGAAGCAUUAUCAAAGUAAAGUCUCACUGUUGUCAUUUUUUAAAUGGUGUCUUUGUUUUCCACUGUGUGAAAGGAUUAAAUCUAAAGCUUCGCCUCUCUGCUGUGUAACAAGUUUUUCUUUAAUUAAACAUGCAUCACAAUGACACACCAGAUUGACGUGGUGUUUCCUAUUGUCACUGAACCACUCCAACUUGCUGUUGUUUGCUAUUGUUUGCUAUUGUUGCUAUUGUUUCUACAGUUCAGAAAUUCAACAGCUAUGUCCUGUUGAGGCAUUUCUAAAACCAGGAACAAAAAAGGUGUAUUAGCUGGAAACUAUUUUCCUUGAUGGAGUAUUUGGUGUUUGGUGAAACUGGGAGAGGCUGACAUACAA